rnacentral:piRNA from 1 species
UUCAUGUGUGUAUGUGCGUUGGUGUGCUG